GACGAACGCUGGCGGCAUGCCUAACACACGCAAGUCGAACGGAACUUGUUGAAUGAAGUUUUCGGAUGGAUUUUGAUAAGUUUAGUGGCGGACGGGUGAGUAACGCGUGAGCAACCUGCCUUUCAGAGGGGGACAACAGUUGGAAACGACUGCUAAUACCGCAUAACGUAUCGGGAUCGCAUGAUCCUGAUACCAAAGAUUUAUCGCUGAAAGAUGGGCUCGCGUACGAUUAGAUAGUUGGUGAGGUAACGGCUCACCAAGUCGACGAUCGUUAGCCGGACUGAGAGGUUGAACGGCCACAUUGGGACUGAGACACGGCCCAGACUCCUACGGGAGGCAGCAGUGGGGAAUAUUGGGCAAUGGGGGAAACCCUGACCCAGCAACGCCGCGUGAAGGAAGAAAGGCC
rnacentral:rRNA from 1 species